UACGAAGGGUGCAAACGUUACUCGGAAUUAUUGGGCGUAAAGGGUGCGUAGGCGGCUUUUCAAGUCUGUUGUUUAAUUUCUCGGCCUAACCGAGAGUCAGCUUCAGAUACUGUUUAGCUAGAGGAUGGAAGAGAGAAGUGGAAUUCUCGGAGUAGCGGUAAAAUGCGUAGAUCUCGAGAGGAACACCGAUGGCGAAGGCAGCUUCUUGGCCCAUUCCUGACGCUGAGGCACGAAAGCGUGGGGAGCAAACAGG
rnacentral:rRNA from 1 species